UAGCUCAACUGGUAGAGCAUGGCAUCAACAUUGCCAGGGUUAGGGGUUCAAUUCCCCCUGGGACCCA
rnacentral:tRNA from 1 species